GCAGAGCUGGGAUAUAAACACCCAGGUCUAUCCAAUUCUCUAAGCCCGUUUUUCUUGCUGGGGAUGGGGGCACAGAUAGGAAGGGGAAAAUUAAUCUUUUGUUCACUUUUUGAAAGGAUGAUAACAUUUGCAUAGUCCAAAACUCAGAAGGUACAGAAGGGAAGUAUCUCCCGGCCAUCUUGUUGCUCUCUCCUGAAUUUUUUAUGAACCCUUGCAGACAUGUUUUAUGUAUAUUAUCACAGUAUGCACACACACACACACACAACGCACACACGUUUCCUCUUUCUACAGAAAUGGUAACAUACUAAAGGUACUCUUCUGUACCUUCACAGUACAAGUACCCAAUACCCCACCUAGGACUAGGACUUGCCCAAGACCACAGCCAGGUAAGGGCGGGGCAGGCACUUGGCCUCCAAGCUCUGCGUCCAGUGCUCACUCCCCACAGUACCCCCCAACUCACCCACAGCAGCUGACUCGGCCCCAGGCUGCCACUAAAAACCAUACAAAAAAGUAG
rnacentral:lncRNA from 1 species